ACAGCAGUCGCCGCGGUAAUACAGAGGGUGCGAGCGUUAAUCGGAUUUACUGGGCGUAAAGCGUGCGUAGGCGGCUAAUUGAGUCGGAUGUGAAAUCCCCGAGCUUAACUUGGGAAUUGCAUUCGAUACUGGUUAGCUAGAGUGUGGGAGAGGAUGGUAGAAUUCCAGGUGUAGCUGUGAAAUGCGUAGAGAUCUGGAGGAAUACCGAUGGCGAAGGCAGCCAUCUGGCCUAACACUGACGCUGAGGUACGAAAGCAUGGGGAGCAAACAGGAUUAGAUACCCCCGUAGUCCCUGUCUCUUAUAC
rnacentral:rRNA from 1 species